CCGGUUGAUCCUGCCGGACCUGACUGCUAUCGGAUUGAUACUAAGCCAUGCGAGUCAUUGUAGCAAUACAAGGCAGACGGCUCAGUAACGCGUAGUCAACCUACCCUAUGGACGGGAAUAACCUCGGGAAACUGAGUAUAAUGCCCGAUAGAACACUAUACCUGGAAUGGUUUGUGUUCCAAAUGAUUUAUUGCCGUAGGAUGGGACUGCGGCCUAUCAGUUUGUUGGUGAGGUAAUGGCCCACCAAGACUAUUACAGGUACGGGCUCUGAGAGGAGUGGCCCGGAGAUGGGUACUGAGACACGGACCCAGGCCCUAUGGGGCGCAGCAGGCGAGAAAACUUUGCAAUGUGCGAAAGCACGACAAGGUUAAUCCGAGUGGUUUCUGCUAAAGGAACCUUUUGACAGUCCUAGAAACACUGUUGAAUAAGGGGUGGGCAAGUUCUGGUGUCAGCCGCCGCGGUAAAACCAGCACCUCAAGUGGUCAGGAUGAUUAUUGGGCCUAAAGGUCCGUAGCCGGUCUGGUACAUUCGUGGGUAAAUCAACCAGCUCAACUGGUUGAAUUCUGCGAGCACGGCCAGACUUGGGACCGGGAGAGGUGUGGGGUACUCUCAGGGUAGGGGUAAAAUCCUGUCAUCCUAAGCGGACCACCUGUUGCGAAGGCGCCACACUAGAACGGAUCCGACGGUCAGGGACGAAGCCUAGGGGCACGAACCGGAUUAGAUACCCGGGUAGUCCUAGGUGUAAACGCUGUGGACUUGAUGUUGGGGGCGCUCCGAGCGCACUCAGUGUCGAAGCGAAGGUGAUAAGUCCACUGCCUGGGAAGUACGGUCGCAAGGCUGAAACUUAAAGGAAUUGGCGGGGGAGCACCGCAACCUGAGGAUUGUGCGGUUUAAUUGGAUUCAACGCCGGAAAACUCACCAUAGCCGACGGACAAAUGAAGAUCAGUGUAAUGAGCUUAUCGGAUUGUUCGAGAGGUAGUGCAUGGCCGCCGUCAGUUCGUACCGCAAGGCGUUCUGUUAAGUCAGAUAACGAACGAGACCCUCAUCCCUAUUUGCUAAGAUCUCUCCGGAGAUCACAGGACUAUAGGGAGACCGCUGGCGCGAAGUCAGAGGAAGGCGAGGGCAACGGUAGGUCAGUAUGCUCCGAAUGCUAUGGGCUACACGCGCAAUACAAAGGACAGGACAAUGGGCUGCUGCGCCGAAAGGCAUGAUAGCUAUCCCGAAACCUGUUCGUAGUUCGGAUUGAGGGCUGUAACUCGCCCUCAUGAAGCUGGAUUAGGUAGUAAUCGCGUCUCAAAAAGGCGCGGUGAAUAUGCCCCUGCUCCUUGCACACACCGCCCGUC
rnacentral:rRNA from 1 species